rnacentral:tRNA from 1 species
GAGGGUAUAGCUCAGUGCUUAGAGUGUGUGCUUAGCAUGCAUGAGGUUCUGGGUUCAAUCUCCAGUACCUCCA